AACGCACCUUGCGCUCCUUGGUAUUCCGAGGAGCAUGCCUGUUUGAGUGUCAUGAAAUUCUCAACCUUUCUGGUUUUCUAAUCAGUUAGGAUUGGAUCAUGGAAGUUGCUGGCUCGAUUCGAAUCAGCUCUUCUCAAAUGUAUUAGCAAAGACCUUUGCUGACCAUCAUUGGUAUGAUAAUUAUCUAUAUCAUUGAUAACCAGUUCCCUUUAUCGGGAGGUCUCGCUUCUAAUCGUCGCUUGCGACAACUUGACAACUUUGACCUCAAAUCAGGUAGGACUACCCGCUGAACUUAA
rnacentral:misc_RNA from 1 species